rnacentral:lncRNA from 1 species
AAUGUGAUAUGGGAUAUUGGUAUGAGUUUGUUGGUUGUUUGCUAUGAGAAUCCUUAUGUGAAAGACUUACUGAGCACCAAUGGAAAGGGUGGACGCCGGUACAUAAGGAAUCCUACCGUGAAUGCUACCUCAGUUAAACGGGGCUGAGAAGUCUCUUACCGGAAAGGUUUGGGAGAUAUGAUUCACUCUCAUAUUGAACGGGAUAUCGAGGUAAUGGAAUGUUUGGUGCCCAUUAAUGGAUGAGGGAUGGGGACAACUAGUUAAUUGUUAAAAUUGGAUAUUGGGUUCAUGAGUAAGGGGGACACCCCUAUGGACCCUCAGGGGUGCCAGUAAGCAAGUAAGAAAAGAAAGUUAUUGUUUUUCGUUCUCUUAUGUAUGAAAGUGAAAAGUGGUAUGUAUAUGGGUGUUCAUAUGUUGUUU